AGCUCCAAUAGCGUAUAUUAAAGUUGUUGCAGUUAAAAAGCUCGUAGUUGGAUUUCUGGCAGAGUGUCCUCCGGCCAGCAGUUCGUUUGGUCCGGAGCGCUCUACCAUCCUUCUGUUAACCUUUGCGGGAUUCACUUCCUGCUCUGGGGCUCAGAUAUUUUACCUUGAGAAAAUUAGAGUGUUUCAGGCAGGCUUUCGCCGGAAUACAUUAGCAUGGAAUAAUGGAAAAGGACUUCAGCCUCUUCUGUUGGUCUGGGCGGCUGUAGUAAUGAUUAAUAGGGAUAGUUGGGGGCAUUAGUACUUAACUGUCAGAGGUGAAAUUCUCCGAUUUGUUAAAGACUAACUUAUGCGAAAGCAUUUGCCAAGGAUGUUUUCA
rnacentral:rRNA from 1 species